CGGGAGACAGAUACCUGGGUAGUUUUGAGCAGUGUUCUACCCAUCACUAGUUCUCCCUAUAGUAUCCGUGCUCUCUGAUGACCGGGGCGAAUUGAGGGAAAUCGCAACGGACAGAUACGGAGCAGACAUUU
ensembl:scaRNA SCARNA8 small Cajal body-specific RNA 8